rnacentral:rRNA from 1 species
GAUGAACGCUGGCGGCGUGCCUAAUACAUGCAAGUCGAGCGAACAGACGAGGAGCUUGCUCCUCUGACGUUAGCGGCGGACGGGUGAGUAACACGUGGAUAACCUACCUAUAAGACUGGGAUAACUUCGGGAAACCGGAGCUAAUACCGGAUAAUAUAUUGAACCGCAUGGUUCAAUAGUGAAAGACGGUUUUGCUGUCACUUAUAGAUGGAUCCGCGCCGCAUUAGCUAGUUGGUAAGGUAACGGCUUACCAAGGCAACGAUGCGUAGCCGAUCUGAGAGGGUGAUCGGCCACACUGGAACUGAGACACGGUCCAGACUCCUACGGGAGGCAGCAGUAGGGAAUCUUGCGCAAUGGGCGAAAGCCUGACGGAGCAACGCCGCGUGAGUGAUGAAGGUCUUCGGAUCGUAAAACUCUGUUAGUAGGGAAGAACAAAUGUGUAAGUAACUAUGCACGUCUUGACGGUACCUAAUCAGAAAGCCACGGCUAACUACGUG